rnacentral:rRNA from 1 species
CGGCGUGCUAUACAUGCAAGUCGAGCGAACUGAUUAGAAGCUUGCUUCUAUGACGUUAGCGGCGGACGGGUGAGUAACACGUGGGCAACCUGCCUGUAAGACUGGGAUAACUUCGGGAAACCGAAGCUAAUACCGGAUAGGAUCUUCUCCUUCAUGGGAGAUGAUUGAAAGAUGGUUUCGGCUAUCACUUACAGAUGGGCCCGCGGUGCAUUAGCUAGUUGGUGAGGUAACGGCUCACCAAGGCAACGAUGCAUAGCCGACCUGAGAGGGUGAUCGGCCACACUGGGACUGAGACACGGCCCAGACUCCUACGGGAGGCAGCAGUAGGGAAUCUUCCGCAAUGGACGAAAGUCUGACGGAGCAACGCCGCGUGAGUGAUGAAGGCUUUCGGGUCGUAAAACUCUGUUGUUAGGGAAGAACAAGUACGAGAGUAACUGCUCGUACCUUGACGGUACCUAACCAGAAAGCCACGGCUAACUACGUGCCAGCAGCCGCGGUAAUACGUAGGUGGCAAGCGUUAUCCGGAAUUAUUGGGCGUAAAGCGCGCGCAGGCGGUUUCUUAAGUCUGAUGUGAAAGCCCACGGCUCAACCGUG